rnacentral:rRNA from 1 species
UACCUUGCGWWKKAUMAUUGUCGWWKGCUUGCGAAWACACGACCGUUGUGCACGUGAUCGAACGCUGCCGGGGAGGCGCUGCCUUCUCGGCCCAACGGCCCGGCCCCGCUCCCUCCGGGCGCGCUGGCCGUGUGCCGAACACGGCGCGGGUUGACGCCAAGGAACACGAUAAGCUGAGGCGGUUGGCGGGCGCUGAGGCGCACGGCCUGCCGCCGAUGCAAAGGAAAAACACGAUGACUCUCGGCAACGGAUAUCUCGGCUCUCGCAUCGAUGAAGAACGUAGCGAAAUGCGAUACGUGGUGUGAAUUGCAGAAUCCCGCGAACCAUCGAGUCUUUGAACGCAAGUUGCGCCCGAGGGACUCGCCCGAGGGCACGCCUGCCUGGGCGUUAGAAGCCCAUCCACGCUCGUGUGCUUUCCAAGUACCCGACGCGGAUAUUGGCCCUCCGUGCCUAAAGGCGCGGUGAGCCUAAGUACGUGGCCGUCGGGUUUGGGCCCAUCCCCGGGAGCGGCGAGUGGUGGGCAUUUCUGCGCGCGCCGUCCCGUGCCCCUUGCCGGUUGCCGACCCCCGAACGAGGAGCCGAACGACGCAGCGUCUUGCUGUGCCGCAUCUUCGGACCGAUCCCAGU